UACGUAGGUGGCGAGCGUUGUCCGGAAUUACUGGGUGUAAAGCGCGUGUAGGCGGGAGGCCAAGUCUGUGGUGAAAUCGCUCGGCUUAACUGGGCGGGGUCCAUGGAAACUGGUCACCUGGAGGUCGGUAGAGGCAAGUGGAAUUCCCGGUGUAGUGGUGAAAUGCGUAGAGAUCGGGAGGAACACCAGUGGCGAAGGCGGCUUGCUGGGCCGGACCUGACGCUGAGACGCGAAGGCGUGGGGAGCGAGCGGG
rnacentral:rRNA from 1 species